AGCUGAGUGGGUGGGGUGGCCUGCAUGGCUGAGUUGAGGGUGGGAGGCCUCAGGUGCCUGACUGCACUUCUGUGACUAUGUUUGGCCAUUUAACAAUGACUCCUCCACUAAAACUGAAAAAUAAAACUAAAAGCAGUGGGGCACAAUGGCAUAACUGUGACGGUGGCACUUAGAGGCUGAAGCAGACCUGGGUGUUGUGGCACAUGCCUUUAAUCCCAGCACUUGGAAGCUGAGGCAGGAGGAUUGAGAUUUGAGGCCAAACUGGACCACAGAGAAAACUGUCUCAAAAGCUGUUUCUAAUAAACUGUCCAGCAAGACCGGGGUGUGUGUCUGUCAGGCUUCCCAGGCAGGCUCCCACAUUGCUCCCACUUCCUUUUAGAGCCAGGCACAUGUUGGGUCAGUUUUGAAUAGAAUCUACAAGAGUUAACACCAAUACAGAGGCCAGAAACGGUCAUCAGGAGCUGUGUGUGGAGGAAGUGGGGGAGACUGGCUGAAGGUCACAAGAUCUUAGCCUUGUAAGGUAAGUUCUCCAUUUCAGAUUGGUGACUGGUGAUGACAGGUAACAGACCCGACCUAGAGGUCUGACAUUCUCAGAAAGGAGGUUCUGGAAGUCGAUGAACAUGUCAACUGUGCUACAGUAGAGGCCACUUCAAAUGAUUCACACCAGAUCUUCAAGGUACUACACCAUGAAACUAAGACUUUCAAAGGAUGUAUUGUUAAUUCCUAGCCCUAGAUGGAUUUCAAAAGGGUUACCAAGAUAAAACUCCAGGGACCCUAUACUAAAGCUUAAGCCUCUGGAAUUGGUCUAGUGGCCUCAGAACAUCCCUGGGUGUUCAGUUCCUGUUGAGUCCUGAACCUGCACCUCAGAGCUGGAUCUUCCCCUCAGGGCUCAGAAACCACACUUGCUCCACAUCCAUCGAAACAGAGGCUGAUAACAAGAGAAACCACGCAGGGAGAUGUGAAUUAGCCCCAUCUGUCAGACUGCCGUCAUGGGGAGGAGGAGGAGGGCUCUGUGGCUGCAGCACCACCUAGUGGCCACUGCUAAGAUCACCACCUAGCAACUCUCCAGACUCCAAAGAAGGGCCAUCUAUCCCUUUUACCUACCAACCCCUCUUUGAGACUUGUCCCAAGAACUCAGUACCUGCCUUUGCUCUGAGCACUCCACCAUUUUUCUCUUGUCCUCAAGAGUAGGACCUGGGCUGUGCCGCAUUUGGGGAAAGUAAACUAGCACAGAAGGACAUCAGGCUGGUCAGUCCCAGCAUGGAUAGGGGUCUGGGUGUAGGAAAUGCGCUGUUGAAGGUCUGUCCUGAGCACUGCAGCGUGUUUAGCCUCCCUCUACUUGGAUGGACUGUGACAACUAAGAGUUGCUCCAGACCACUGAGCUAUUCUUCUGUGCUGAAACCUUCUUUGUACUCUGUCUGGACUUGCUGGGUUGGCUACUUUGGGUCCACGACUCAAACUUUCCUGGAGUUAUAAUGAGAGUCUCGGUAGCCCUUGACUCCCAGAUGAACACAAAGGGCUUACUGAGGGUUGAACUGAGUCAAACUCUUGCUCAUUGGCCAACAAAACUGAAGGAGAGGGGUGGGGCUAAGACCUCUCUGGCCUCCUCCAUUGUUCUCAGAAGUGCUGGCCUGUGUGCUACUCAGCCGUUAGAUCCUUAAAAUGGAUCCAGGCAGAGGGAAUGCUCCCUCCCCCGCUGAGUCAAUGCAUAGGAAACCCUCCUGCAGUCCUUCAUAGACUCUACCCUCUACCCACACUACCCUCAACGCACUCAACAGCUGCACAUGUUGUUUCCAGUGUGACUGCAUGUGAUGACAGGCCUUUCAGGAGUAGUUAAGGUUAAAUGAGCUUGCAGGGUCAGGGUCUAGCCCUGACAGAGAGACCAGAGGUUGAGCUCUAUGACUUCACUCUCUCAUAGGCAGGGCUAGGCACCAUGAGAGUGUGGCUACAGUCUAAUGUGCCCCAGUUUUGUGUGUUAUAGCCUCUGUUCCUGUAACGAGGCCAUGUGAGGAGGUAUGGCUUAAGUAGUGGUAUUUAGGUGAUUGAGUGACACUGUCAUGAGUGGGCUAAUGUCUUCUUCACUGAAUUUUUUUCUCUCCUGGCUCUCCACUAGUUAGUUACCUUAAGAGCAAGUUACUAUGGGCUGGCAAGAUGGCUCAGAAAAUAAAGGUUCUUGCCACCAAGCCUGAGACCCACAGGCCAGAAGGAGAACUGACUCCCACGGUUACCACUCACUUCCACAUGUACUCCGCAGUAUGAGCAUGCGUGCACACACUCAUGUGAGGUGCGUUUAUGCAUGCAAAUAAGUAAAUGCAGUAAAACUUUUAAAGAGAAUUGAAGCUUCGCAAUGGAGAUUACCCGCACUGCAAACCUCCUCCGGGUUAUCAUGUGCUUAAUGAGCAAAUAUAUGGUCUUUUACAGACUGUUUGGCUGUGAGUUGAAGCUCACAAGGCUCUCACAAUGUGUGGAUACCUAAUUUUGAACUUCUUGGCCUUCAAAAUUCUUAAGCCAAACUAAUGCUCAUUUCUUUAAUGACCUAGGUUUUCACAGUUGGAGUUGGUGGUUAAGAGCACCAGCUGCUCUUCUAGAGGACCUAGAUUUGAUUUCCAGAACCCACAUUGUGGCUCAUAACCACCUUUAACUCCAUUUCCAGGGUAUCCAAUACCCUCUUCUGGCCUCAGUAGGCAUCAGCCACUCACAUAGCAUAGACUUAUGUGCAGGCAAAACACCUACACACAUAAGAAAUAAAAAAAUAUUUUUUUCUUUUCUUUUUUUCGGAGCUGGGGACCUUGCGCUUGCUAGGCAAGCGCUCUACCACUGAGCUAAAUCCCCAACCCCCCAAAAAUAUUUUUAAUUACUUAGUCUCAGAGAAUGUGUUACAGUAACAGAAAACAGACUCAGAAAGCAGCUGUCUACAAACUAAGAAGAAAUCUCCACCAGAAACCAGCCCUGCCCUCAGCUUCAAACUGGAUAUCCAUCUUCCAGAAUAGUGGGCAAACACUUCUAUUGUCUGAGGCGCUAAGCCUACUGGGGUAAAGCCUGAGCAGAAUAAAAUGGGUGGGAAGCCACCUGACCCUGGGCAGUACACAGGCAAAUGGCAAACAGUGUCCUUACAGAGUGAUGUCUCGUGGCUGAUGUUCUCAAAGAGAAUGUUCAGGGUCUGUAGCAGCUGGACACACACAUAACGGCCUGAUUUCUGCCGCAGAAUGUUCAAGAAGAAAACAAACAUGUUCUUCUCCAAGAAGAAGCUGGGAAAAGAACAGAAAAGGGUUAGUGGGUGACACACUCACAGCUCCUAGGAGUGGGCUCACCUAUGAAGACCUAUGAAGACCACCUGUGGCAAGACUAAACUCUGACACCUGCCUGGGCAGUCUCCGUGCCCAUGAGGACAACACACGCCUUCUGGGUCUUUCUCCUCCUGUUUCAGCAGAGCAGGUUAUAAAAAGCAGUGGCUCUCCUGCAUCAUGAACACACCCAAAACCACUGGUGGCCAAUGAAGGAAGCUGUCAAACAUCUGUGCCCGAAUCUUGCUGCUGGGCUGACUUAGUGUGAAGCUCUCAAGGUAGAUGUUCGCAUCUGUGUGUGUGUGUGUGUGUGUGUGUGUGUGUGUGUGUGUGUGUCAGGAGUGUGGAAGUCGGAGGAAGGCUUUGGACAUUCGUUCUCACCUUCUACCCUUUUUGAGAUAGGUGUCAUUGUUGCUGCAUACACAAGCCGCCUGACCCGUCUCCCACCUUUCAGGGAUUUUUUGCCUCCCAUCUCACCAUCCAAGCACUGGGAUUAAAAAGUUGUGUUGCCAUACAUAGCUUUUAUAUAGGUUCUGGGGACUCACACUUGGGUGUGAGAGGCUCCCUCAGUCCACCAGUUACACACGGGGACACCAAUGGUGCUCCCAUGUGUGCCCAGGGGCACAUCUGAUAGACUGUCCUCUCAAACCUCAGCAGACACACUAGGGGCUAGGGAGAUGACUCAGUGGAUAAAGUGCUAGCCUCAGAAGCAUGAGUUCAGAUGCCCAGAAUCCAUAUAAAAGUGGGGUGCAUAUGCAGUCUGCCUAUAGUGCAAGCUCUCAGGAAGCAGAGACAGGGAUCCUGAGCACAAGAUGGCCAGUUAGUCUAGGUCACUGGUUCUCAACCUUCCUAACACUAUGAUCCUUUAAUACAGUUCCUCAUGUUGUGAUGACUCCUGAUCACAUAAUUAUUCUGUUGAUACUUCAUAACUGUAAUUUCGCUACUGUUAUGAACCAUAUGUAAACAGCUGUGUUUCCCCAUGGUCUUAGGCAAUCCCUGUGAAAGGGCCAUAACAAGGGUUGAGAACCGCUGGUCAGAUUGAAUGAACAAGCCCUGGGUCCAACAAGAGACCUUAACUCUAGUAAAAAAAAAAAGUGGAGAGUUGUGGAAGAAGAUACCUGACAUCAACCUUUGAUCCCCAUGAACAUGCACAUGUGUGCACACAUGCAUACAUAUCCACCUAAAUAUAUGCCCACAUAUGUUCCAACAUGCAUAGGCACCACAUAUACACAUAUGCAAAGCAAUAAAUAAACUAAACACACUAAAUGCUGGCCUUCAGCAACUCCCUCAGAGCAAGGCCUGUUCAUUUAGGACCUAACUAUUUGGGACACUCUUCUCGCCCUGGAGUAGAUGAUGGGGCACAAGUUGGAAUGUUAUGGACAACAUCUUCAGCUUUUCUAGAGAAACUCAUUUCCACAGCUCUUCCCUUUUUGGCUUGCAUCUCUACAUUCUCUCAAGGACGCUUGAUAGAGAUAUUCAGGCAAGAUGGAAUUAGUAUCAGUUCCUGACGUCAUCAGGAAUGACUCAUGGUGUACACUUGGAACGGCACCAAAAGGAAGUGCAAGGACCAGGACACAAAAGCGCUGUAAGCCAUACUCAAACACAGAGCUGUCAUUUUGAUCGCCCCAAAUCAGGAUCUCAGUGAUGGAACGGAUGGUCUCCACAAGCAGGUUCCGGUUCUGUUCUGUGACAGUGGUGUUUUUGGUUAAAACAUGGUACAGGUACCUAGAAAAAAGGGGAGAAACAAGAGCUUACACAAACUGACGUGAAAGUGAGGCCCAAGGGUCACUGGCAAUACAGCACAGCAGUGGUUAAGUUUAUGUUAGCACAGUUUCCCAUUCAAAUGGAGAGAGAGGUCACUCCCAGCCCCCAGCCCAAUGGCAGAAGGAGCUCUCUGAAGCACUGAAUGCCAGGGACACAUCCGCCCAAACUGAGGCAAGAGCACUGCCAAGCCCCUGAAACCAGCACCCCAAAACUUCAGGAUGCAAACAAAUUACAGAGCUGGCAAAAUCAGAGGCUGCUGAAAUACACAUGGGGACUCUAACUCAGUGAGGCUAAAGGAAGACAAGCGUGGCCUGUCUUAGCUGCAGUGAUGGAUGUCAAGAAACAGUAGUCGGUGCCAGGUAGACUCAUAGCAAAGCUGGUGAUGGGGUCAGAGCUCAGGGUCACAUCUUCCUAAGUCAGAGCCUAGGACACUAAACACAGCUUUCAGAAUGUCUACAGUUCUCACUAGAGCAGCACACCAUGGAAACCAGGACUCAAGGUGGGACGUGAUGAGUGACUCCUUCCCAAAGGAAAUGUCUCAUCUGCAGAAUCUAGAGUGAAAUGGCUGAGGAGGCUAAAGUCCAGGAGACUUUACCUGUCUGGGCCACAGACUUAAUUAGGAAGGAAAAGCUGGGUCAAAAAGAGGUGGCUCAAAAAAAAAAAAAAAAAAAGAGGUGGCUCAAGAUACCUGUCAGAGGCUGGGAGAGCAAGAGUGGAGGGACUAUUCCCUACAGUCCAGAAGAGCAGGGAACAAAGAGGCAGAGCCUUGGAGGGGGAAUAAUUAGACUUAGGUGCUCCCAGCUAUGUCUAUAUUUUAGAGACAGGCCCAAAUUGUUUAGUGUUCUAUGCUGUUCUUGCUGUGCUGUCUGACAUGAUAGAUAAGGCUCGGCCACCAAGCUACAACCUCACCUCCCACUUUUUUUUUAUUUCUUUUUCUUUCUUUAUUUUUUUCAAUGUUACAAGACAAUAUUUUAAUAUUUGGUAAGUCAUGGAUUACAAAGAAUAAAAUAACAUUAUAGAUUAGUCUAUCAUCAUUUUACAGGAAGAUAUUUUUACUUUCCCUGUAACAAGCCUCUAUUAUAAUGAUGUUUAAUCAACAAAGGGUAGCUUGACUCUUUUAUUUAUUUAUUUUUAUUUAAUUUACAUCCUCAUCUGUCCCUCCCCCCAUCCCCUGUCCCCUCUGGGUAUCCCCAAACCCUGGCACAUCAAGUCUCUGAGGGGCUAGGUGCUUCUUCUCCCACAAAGGCCAGACAAGACAGCCACGAGAAGAGAACAGAUUCUACAGACAGGCAACAGCUUAGUGACAGCUCCUGCUCCAGUUGUUCUGGGCCUACAUGAAGACCAAGCUGCACAUCUGCUACAUGUGUGCAGGGGUCUAGGUCCAGUCCCCAAAUGUUCUUUGGUUGGUGGCUCAGUGUUUGAGAGCCCCGCCCCCUCCCCAGGAAUCCAGGUUAGUUGACUCUACUGGUCUUCCAGUGGAGUGCCUAUCCUCUUCGGGGCCUUCAAUCCUUCCUCUAAGCUCCAUCCAAUAUUCACCUUCCAUUUUUCAUUAUUAUAUUUUACUUCGAGACAGGGUGUCAGUAAUUUGACCCAACUGGCUUUGAACCAGCUCUGUAGCCAGGGAAACCUAGAACUUGUGAUCUGCUCACCUUGGCAGUCAUGUCCAGCCUAAAAUGCAACUGGUAACCUGCAACGAGGUAAAGGUCUUCCCACAAUGCUGCACGUGAGGACACAAGGCCUACUUUCCUCUACAAUUAAGUAACUUAUCAUCUGAACCACCCUGGAACAAAUUGUAGGGACCUCAUUACAAAGCUAUGUGUCCACUGUGAUUCUAGUGCCUACCCUACAAGAAACCCAAGGAACACUUUCCUAAACCGUGCUUCACAGCCUCCUGCACCUGCUUUACCUGUUUAAGUUGCUCCCUAUGCAGCUCCCAUGCAACCCCACUGAAUUAGGCUACUGGGUGAAUGGGUUAAAAUGGUGUGCAUGUACAUAUGUGUGCAUUAUUGGGUGAGUGGGUUAAAAUGGUGUGCAAGUACAUAUGUGUGCAUUAUUGAGGAUCAAACCCAGGGCCCCUUACAUGCCACACUGCGCUUUACAACAGAGCUCUAGCUACAGCCCUCUCCCUUAAAAUCUGACAGCUGCACCUCUCCCAGUGUGCCCAUCAAUGGCCUUUCCACACAGUCCCUAGGAUAAUGGACACUGUCCCAGGGACAAGGUAAUGCUGACAGUGCAGGUAAGGGAGAGGCAGUCUUCCCACUCUGGAGAUAUGACACACGUGUGCAGGAGGACAGCAUACAUGCACUGACCUCACCCAUCACAUCUUGGCUCUCUGGGAAGCAGCAACAUGAGUGAGCUCAUCUACUCUGAGGGCCUCCAACUACAGUGGACAGGGUCUGACUUCAACUGAGGGGGCUGUCUAAACAACUGCCCUUGCUGCCUUAUCAGUCAGCAGCGGCUGCUCACAUUCAGGGCUCCGCCUCUCUCCACCCUUUCUUCGGAGAAGGCUUUUUCACUCCAAUCCUCCAAUUCCCAUAAGGACCUGGUUGUCCCCUUUUGGGAAGUAGCAAGGACUUCACAGAGCUCUGUGUUCUCCAUGGUCUGUCUGUCUCUCUGACUAGACUGGAACCUCCAGGUCAGGAAAAUCAUCUUAAUCCACUCCAAUCCACUCCACAAUAACUGGUACAUAGCAAGAGCUAUAUAAACGCGGAAUGAAGCAGAGGGCAGCCCCUACUAAUACGCACUGGAGUAUACUAUACAAGUAAGGGUUAAAGAAACAGCACAGAGCGAUGAUAAGAGCCCCGUCACAGCAGUGGUGGUGCAUACCUUUAGUCCCAGCACUUGGGAAGCAGAGGCAGGUAGAGUUCUGUCAGUUCUAGGACAUGGUCUACGUGGUAAGUUCCAGACCAGCCAGGGUUAUAUAAUGAGACCCUGUCCUAUCUAAGGAGGAGGAGGAGGAGCAAGGGGGAGGGGCCACUAAAGUGUUGUUAGGAUGGCUUCCUUCAUUAUGCAAUUGCUUUUAAAAGUCCUAUUAGAGAACUUUUCUCAUCUGGGCUAAUGUGCACCCCCAGUGAGCCAAUGACCACCUAGUAAAAAAUCCAAUUCCAGACAUGUGAAGCCCUCUUUUGAGUUGUUGGCCAGGACUGUUUAAGAGACACCCAAAACACAGCCUAUUGCUGUUUCCCCAGGUUACCCCCCAGAGCAGGAGGUAAGUUCCUGUGCUGAAGACACCAUGCACUUCAGAAACGGGUGCAAGCCCCCAGCUGGAACUGACCUGGGCACCCUCUCCCGGAGAACUAGCUUUCAUGGUAUCAGAAGGCAAAGGAGGAGGAAGGCAGCCGACAGUCCGCAUCAACAACCAGCACGCCAUGGUAACCCUGAGGGCACAGUCAGUCACAGUACACACCUUGGGGGUAGCCAACAGUUCUCCAAUUAGACUCAAAGGCUGCUCAACAAGAGGGAGGCCAUGCUUGGUUCUGGAAACCCAGCUAACUAGUCAGUGCUAGUGAAGUCAUGGAGAAUUUACAGCCACCAAUUUAUUUAUUAUUUUUUUUUUUGGUUCUUUUUUUCGGAGCUGGGGACCGAACCCAGGGCCUUGCGCUUCCUAGGUAAGCGCUCUACCACUGAGCUACAUCCCCAGCCCCCACCAAUUUAUUAAACCAGCAUUAUCCCUAUCAACAACCUAUAAACAUUUUUCCUUGUACCUACAGAUAAGUGUGCCCUCAUCAAGGAAAUGUCUCUUUACAACAGAGGAGACCACUACAGAAAUUCACAACCAAUCAAAACCUGCAGAGUCGUAAAGCCCAGUGCUAACAGACCAUCAACAAAACACUCCUACACCCAAGGCUCAGUGAACAUUGCAAAAGAUGGGGUGGGAAGAACAUAAGGGCCAAGAGGACCAGGGUGAUUGCUGUGAAACUCUGUCUCUUAGCAACAUCAGAAGCUACACCCAGAGUCUCACCAACAUGACUGCCCAAACACGUUCUGAACGAGGAUGGCACCAAUGUACCGGACGGAGAAAAGCCCAUGAGGCAACAGGAGAGGUGGUCUUCCUCCAGAGAAGAACACACUUUGGCAAUUAUCUACUGUCAAACAGCAUACAACAUACAUACAAGUAACAUUACACACACUGAACACAUUAUAUUUAGUAAUACACAUGCAUCUACAUAUAUCCAUAACAAUUAGUGAAAAGAGGCCAUGGAUUUGAAGGGAAGGAGGAUAUGGAAGGACUUGGCGGGAGGAAAGAGAAGGGAGAAAUGUUGUAAUUAAAGUAUAAUCUUAAAAGAAAGCAAAAAGAAAAAGAAAAACAUCCUAUUAGAAGGCUUUUUCAGAUAUGAAGAACAGGUUAGUUAGAAGAUCCUCAGAGCUCCCAUGAGCCUGGCACCAAGUGAAGGCUUGGUGACUCUCAGACUCACCCAACCACAGGAUGUGCCCAGUGUUAGCACUGCACAGGCCAAGGCAGCACAUGGGGCUUAGGUACACCCAGUCCUUGCCAGCCCCGUGGCUGGGAGGCACUCAGUCCAUGUGAGCUCAGUCUCUCCAGUACUAGUCCUAGGCCUUUUUUGGUGGUGUAGUUCUAUGGGCUUUCACGGUGUCCUAUGGGGGUUUUACCUCAGGAAAACCAAGGUUAGACGUUGUCUUCUCUCACUUGGUGAAGGAAAAUUUGCAUUUCCCCUUUAGGGCAGGGCCAAUUACAAGACUUUGUUCAAUUUAUUCUUGGUGACUUUUACUUAUUAAUAGCUUGUUUUCCCCAACUGUGGUACUGUGACCACAGAUUUGAGACUGACUUUACUAGAGCAACCAGGAAUGACAAAACAACAGAUGUAUGUACAGCAAAGCCAGGAUUAGGUUGCCAGGGCAUGCUGGAGCCCCAGCAGCAACCAGGCAUCAUAGAGCUGAAUGAGGAAGCAGGUUAGCUAAUCUUGGUAGAGGAUCUCUGUAGGGCAGCAGUCUCAGGCUACAAUUAUCAGGGAGCAGAGGGCUAUAGUAAGUGCUUCUUUCUGCACACGCUGUCAGCAUCUGAGCCUUGCUGUUUUCCUAAGCUUGACUCAGGGAACAACUUCCUUUUCCACUGGUUUGCGGCACCAGGGUCCUUGGCAUGACCAUGCUUAUGUGGGAAAUGCUCAUUCGUACAGGAUACACUUGAUCCCCAUACUGGCCUGUCUUUUCCUUAUCUUUAUAAUAGCCUUUAAAAUUGUUUUUAAUAAAGUGUGUGUGCGUGUGUGUGUGCGUGUGAGCACGCGUGUUAUGGGGGUUGGGGGACAAGCAUACAUAUAUCAUAGUGCACAUAAGGAGGUCAGAGGAUACCUUGCAAGGUCA